CUUGUCCUUGUUCCUCCUUCCAUCGCCCCUCAACCCACUGGGAAGGACUCAGAGGUCUGAAGUGGAUGCUGGUGGUUAUCCACCCAACAGCCAUUUCCCUCUUCUCCCUUGCUAACAGAACGCGACUCUGUCCAGGUGACAAUGGGCUGGGCCUCGGGAGUGAAUGGUGAUCAGUCUAAACCAAUGGUGAUAACCUGUUUCCCUUCUGGGAGUGAAUGAUCUAAAGUGGGUCGUGUGAGGACAAGAUGGCUGCCACACCAACUGCCCAAUUGGGAAGGCUGGAGUAAGGCCGGACCAACUCAGCCCAGGUGUGUGUGCACACGUUCCUUAGUGCUCCAGUGCAGCUCCUUGUAUGCUCGACCCUCAGAAAACCUGGUUCUUCUCUCCACCUAUCCACGAGUUCCAGCAGUGUUCAUCUCAGCCCUCACCUCUGCAGCCUCCAGUGUGCAUCUCCUUUGAGCUUCCAUCACCCCAAUUCCCUGACCACCUUAGCGCUUCCUGCCACCUGAUAUCCACUCCGCUCUCACUGGCUUCAUUCCACAGCUCUCUGGCCCCUGGCCUCAUACUUCGUCCUUGGCUGUCCCAAGAACUCUUCUCAAGAAACCUUGACUCCAAAAUGGGCAAAGUUCCCUUCACACUUAGAGAGAGGUGGUGGUUGUACAACAUUGUGAGUGCAAUAAAUGCCACUGAAUUGUGUACUUUAAAAUGGUUCAUCGUAUUUACAUGAAUUUCACCCCCAAAGAGGACUGUGAACUCCCUGAAAAUAUUUGUGAAAUUUUCAACAUUGUACAUAGCAUUAAAAAUAUUUUAAAGGAGACUGUGAUCUCCAAAAAUAUGAAUGUAAAGCACA
ensembl:lncRNA